UACGAACUGCGCGAACGUUAUUCGGAUUCACUGGGCUUAAAGGGUGCGUAGGCGGUUUUUUAAGCAGGGUGUGAAAUUUUUCGGCUCAACCGGAAAACAGCAUUCUGAACUGGGAGACUUGAGUCGGUCAGGGGUGUGUGGAACUGCCAGUGGAGCGGUGAAAUGUGUUGAUAUUGGCAGGAACGCCGGUGGCGAAAGCGACACGCUGGGGCCGAACUGACGCUGAGGCACGAAAGCCAGGGGAGCAAACGGG
rnacentral:rRNA from 1 species